rnacentral:tRNA from 1 species
AGGGGUAUAGCUCAGUGGAAGAGCACGUGUUUAGCACGCAUGAGGUCCUGGGUUCAGUCCCCAGUACCUCCA